rnacentral:rRNA from 1 species
CUCUCAGCUUAUCAUGCGCAGCUUAGGUGGGAGGCUAUGAACCUUUUCUUCUGGGAAGAGGGGAGCCAUCAGUGAGAUACCACUCUUGGUAAGCUAGAGCGCUCAGUCUUCACCGUCAUCCGGUAAGACGACAGUUUCAGGCGGGCAGUUUGACUGGGGCAGUCACCUCCCAAAAGGUAAUGGAGGUGUGCAGAGGUUCCCUCAGGCUGGACGGAAAUCAGCCAUAGAGUGUAAAAGCAUAAGGGAGCUUGACUGCGAGACUGACAUGUCAAGCAGAGACGAAAGUCGGCUUUAGUGAUCCGACGGUGCUGUGUGGAAAGGCCGUCGCUCAACGGAUAAAAGUUACUCUAGGGAUAACA